GUUGAACGCUGGCGGCAUGCUUUACACAUGCAAGUCGAACGGCAGCGCGGGCUUCGGCCUGGCGGCGCGUGGCGGACGGGUGAGUAAUGCACCGGAACGUGCCCAGUCGUGGGGGAUAGCCCGACGAAAGCCGGAUUAAUACCGCAUACGAUCUGAGGGUGAAAGCGGGGGUUCAAAAGGCCUCGCGCGUUUGGAGCGGCCUAUGUCGGAUUAGCUAGUUGGUUGGGUAAAGGCUUACCAAGGCGACGAUCCGUAGCUGGUCUGAGAGGACGACCGGCCACACUGGAACUGAGACACGGCCCAGACUCCUACGGGAGGCAGCAGUGGGGAAUUUUGGACAAUGGGGGCAACCCUGAUCCAGCCAUGCCGCGUGCGGGAAGAAGGCCUUCGGGUUGUAAACCGCUUUUGUUCGGGAAGAAAUCCUCUGGGCUAAUACCCCGGGGGGAUGACGGUACCGGAAGAAUAAGCACCGGCUAACUACGUG
rnacentral:rRNA from 1 species